AUUGAACGCUGGCGGCAGGCCUAACACAUGCAAGUCGAACGAGUGGCGGACGGGUGAGUAAUGUCUGGGAAACUGCCCGAUGGAGGGGGAUAACUACUGGAAACGGUAGCUAAUACCGCAUACCAUCGGAUGUGCCCAGAUGGGAUUAGCUGGUGGGUGGGGUAACGGCUCACCUAGGCGACGAUCCCUAGCUGGCCUGAGAGGAUGACCAGCCACACGGGAACUGAGACACGGCCCAGACUCUUACGGGAGGCAGCAGUGGGGAUUAUUGCACAAUGGGCGAAAGCCUGAUGCAGACAGGCCGCGUGUAUGAAGAAGGCCUUCGGGUUGUAAAGUACUUUCAGCGAGGAGGCGUUACUCGCAGAAGAAGCACCGGCUAACUCCGUGCCAGCUGCCGCGGUAAUAC
rnacentral:rRNA from 1 species